CAGUCGCCGCGGGAAUACGUAGGUGGCAAGCGUUGUCCGGAAUUAUUGGGCGUAAAGCGCGCGCAGGUGGUUUAAUAAGUCUGAUGUGAAAGCCCACGGCUCAACCGUGGAGGGUCAUUGGAAACUGUUAAACUUGAGUGCAGGAGAGAAAAGUGGAAUUCCUAGUGUAGCGGUGAAAUGCGUAGAGAUUAGGAGGAACACCAGUGGCGAAGGCGGCUUUUUGGCCUGUAACUGACACUGUGGCGCGAAAGCGUGGGGAGCAAACAGGAUUAGAUACCCCUGUAGUCCCUGUCUCUUAUAA
rnacentral:rRNA from 1 species